GUGCUUGCUUCGGCAGCAUAUAUACUAAAAUUGGAGCACUACAGAGAAGAUUAGCAUGGCCCCUGUGCAAGGCUGACAUGCAAAUUAGUGAAGUAUUCCAUAUUUUU